rnacentral:rRNA from 1 species
CGCGAGCGUUGUCCGGAAUUAUUGGGCGUAAAGAGCUUGUAGGCGGUUUGUCGCGUCUGCCGUGAAAAUCCGGGGCUCAACCCCGGACUUGCGGUGGGUACGGGCAGACUAGAGUGUGGUAGGGGAGACUGGAAUUCCUGGUGUAGCGGUGAAAUGUGUAGAGAUCGGGAGGAACACCGGUGGCGAAGGCGGGUCUCUGGGCAAUUCCUGACGCUGAGGCGCGAAAGCGUGGGGAGCAAACGGG